ensembl:lncRNA
UUUUUUUUUUUUUUUUUUUUUAACUGGAGAGGAGCAAGCUGCAACGAGGGCCUUGUUCCUGGUUGGGUGUAAGACCUGGGAAGAGGCAGAGCAAGGCUGAGAGCUGGGGUUCGUGGCCUGGGGCCUGGGUGUCCUUCAAAGAGGGGAGACCUAAAGGCAUGUGGCUGUACAUUUACAAAUGCAUGAACACAGCUGCAAGAUACUGAUGGGCUUCAGAAACAAGAACAAAUCCAGAAUUCUCCCUCAUCGCUAAAGACAAAAAAAAAUUUCCUCCAGGAAUAGGUUCUUCUUCAGUUGUGAAACACUGGAUAUAGGAAGAGAUGAUCCCCACAUGCUGGAGCAGAGUGCUCCAAAACCUUUUCACCUGAAACUUGACUUUAAGUCCUUCAUGCAAGUGCCUGGAAGUUUAUAGAAUGUUAUGAUGAGAUGUCUGUUAAACCAGUAAGACCCCAAAAUAAAAAUGCCUCUGUGGUGAUAGAGACCAGAACAGUGAGAACCUUGGCGGGUGGGCUGUCCACCGUGAAGGGAGGGGAAUAAGGGAGUCUCUGGAGCGCUGGGAAUGUCCUAAACCUUGGUCUGGGUGGUGGCUCCUGGGGUAUGUGCAUGUAUAAAAAGUAAAAAGUCAUCAAGGGGUACACUUGAGAUUUGUGCAUUUUACUCUAUGUAAGCUAUGCCUCAAUAAAAAAAGAAAAACAUUUUAAAUGUUGUUUUCAUUGCUUUGCUAUGCCAGCAGUUUGGGAAGGUGCUUUUAUUUCCAAAAGCUAAAUCAUGUAUAAGUUAUAUGAUAUUUCAAGCCAUCUCUGGGGUUCUCUCCUAUAAUACCUUUUGUGCCCAAGCUCUUACCUUAUAAAAUGUGACCAACUUCUAAGGGUCAAAGAUGAUUUUUCUCCAUCUGUCAUCCUUGUCCGUGGCAAAUGUGGACAUGUCAUUCGGAAUGUAGCAUGGAGGCCCUGAUGAAACUAGAAAAGCAUGUGGAGAUAAAAUUCACUCUGGGAUGAAUCCAGACACUUCCUGCCAUUGGCCAGAUGUCACAGCGCUGGAAGCCACCCUCCCGGGGGAAGCGAUUCAACCAGCAUAAGCCAGAUGUGUAGGAAGCUGCCUCGGACCCACAUGCUAACACUAUCCCAAUUGUGUGGAGCAUAUGCUUUCAGUCAAGAGUGAAAAAUGCAGGCAGGGGCACAUGCCAGGAGUCUUUCAAGCAUGGCCCACCCGUCAGCCUACAGCAGGAUGCACUGAUGCGUCCAGUCAGCAGAUGUGUGUCACCACGACGCAGGCUGAGGCUGGUUAAACAGUAACAGAGCUCAGUGACCUAAUGCUCACACUCAGCCCUUCCUGAGAACCUCGCGCCACAGUUAUCAUGCUGUGGGAUGUGUCAGCUUGAUUCUGAGGCUGCCUGGAACCAUCUGUGCUUAAACUACGUGGAGUGGCAGAAACGCCCCUUCCUGUACCCAGCAGUGUGUCAAGAGACCUCAAUGAGCUGCCAGGGAACAUGGGUGCAGUGCGUUUUUGCUCAGUGUUAUUUUGAAUAAUCUCAAAUGCAACUGCAUGGCAGGCUGUUUGGGAAAAACUGUUUAGUGACUGAGUUUUGUGUCCUGGUGUGGCUUUCCAGGAGCCCACACUGCCUGCAAGGAUACCCCUCUGUGCCUCUUGGUAAGCCUCCAAGGCCUCUACCUGCCCCUCCCCUUUAUAGAAAGCUCUGAGUGUAGAAUUUGUCCAGAUGUUCUGAACUGAGUGAGACAGACUUUGCAAGAAUCCUGCCUGCUCUGAUUAAAGAGAAAGAAAUGUCUAUGCCUACUUGCUCACAAGUGCAUGCGCGCACACACACACUUCUGUGUGUUUGAGAGGAAGCAGGCAACCACACACAAUGUCGUUCAGAGAAAGACACAUGGAUGAAGAGACAAGGACAGAGACACCCCAGGGCAGCCUAUAUGUGCACACAACCCCUUGGUUGACCAAUAGCAGCAAAUAUUGUACUGAGGCAGAAGUCAUGGAAUGUAGUUUGCAGACC